rnacentral:rRNA from 1 species
UACGUAGGGUGCAAGCGUUAAUCGGAAUUACUGGGCGUAAAGCGUGCGCAGGCGGUGAUGUAAGACCGAUGUGAAAUCCCCGGGCUUAACCUGGGAACUGCGUUGGUGACUGCAUCGCUAGAGUAUGGCAGAGGGGGGUGGAAUUCCACGUGUAGCAGUGAAAUGCGUAGAGAUGUGGAGGAACACCGAUGGCGAAGGCAGCCCCCUGGGCCAAUACUGACGCUCAUGCACGAAAGCGUGGGGAGCGAACAGG